rnacentral:tRNA from 1 species
UGCCCGGUGGUGUAAUGGUAACACAUCGGCCUUUGGAGCCGUGGAUCAAGGUUCGAGUCCUUGCCGGGCAG